rnacentral:rRNA from 1 species
GAUGAACGCUGGCGGCGUGCCUAAUACAUGCAAGUCGAGCGAACAGACGAGGAGCUUGCUCCUCUGACGUUAGCGGCGGACGGGUGAGUAACACGUGGAUAACCUACCUAUAAGACUGGGAUAACUUCGGGAAACCGGAGCUAAUACCGGAUAAUAUAUUGAACCGCAUGGUUCAAUAGUGAAAGACGGUUUUGCUGUCACUUAUCGAUGGAUCCGCGCCGCAUUAGCUAGUUGGUAAGGUAACGGCUUACCAAGGCGACGAUGCGUAGCCGACCUGAGAGGGUGAUCGGCCACACUGGAACUGAGACACGGUCCAGACUCCUACGGGAGGCAGCAGUAGGGAAUCUUCCGCAAUGGGUGAAAGCCUGACGGAGCAACGCCGCGUGAGUGAUGAAGGUCUUCGGAUCGUAAAACUCUGUUAUUAGGGAAGAACAAAUGUGUAAGUAACUAUGCACGUCUUGACGGUACCUAAUCAGAAAGCCACGGCUAACUACGUG